rnacentral:rRNA from 1 species
CUACGGGUUGCUGCAGGCGAGAAAAUUCUGCAAUGCGCGCAAGCGUGACAGAGGAAUCUUGAGUGUUUAGGUUUUUCCUAAACUUUUCUUUAGUUUAAAACGCUAGAGGAAUAAGGGCUGGGUAAGACCGGUGCCAGCAGCCGCGGUAAUACCGGCGGCCCGAGUAGGAUUCACAUUUACUGGGUCUAAAGCAUCCGUAGCCGGUUUUGAAAGUCUUUUGUUAAAUCACUCUGCUCAACAGAGUAACUGCAUAAGAUACUACAAAACUAGAGACUGGGGGACGUAAUGAGUACAAAUUGGGUAACGGUAAAAUGUUUUAAUCCUUUUUGGACUAACAAUGGCGAAGGCACAUUACGAAAACAGAUCUGACGGUGAGGGAUGAAGGUCAGGGGCGCAAAACGGAUUAGAUACCCGGGUAGUC